rnacentral:rRNA from 1 species
AUUGAACGCUGGCGGUAGGCCUAACACAUGCAAGUCGAGCGGAUGAAGGGAGCUUGCUCCUGGAUUCAGCGGCGGACGGGUGAGUAAUGCCUAGGAAUCUGCCUGGUAGUGGAGGAUAACGUCCGGAAACGGGCGCUAAUACCGCAUACGUCCUGAGGGAGAAAGUGGGGGAUCUUCGGACCUCACGCUAUCAGAUGAGCCUAGGUCGGAUUAGCUAGUUGGUGGGGUAAAGGCCUACCAAGGCGACGAUCCGUAACUGGUCUGAGAGGAUGAUCAGUCACACUGGAACUGAGACACGGUCCAGACUCCUACGGGAGGCAGCAGUGGGGAAUAUUGGACAAUGGGCGAAAGCCUGAUCCAGCCAUGCCGCGUGUGUGAAGAAGGUCUUCGGAUUGUAAAGCGCUUUAAGUUGGGAGGAAGGGCAGUAAGUUAAUACCUUGCUGUUUUGACGUUACCAACAGAAUAAGCACCGGCUAACUUCGUG